rnacentral:rRNA from 1 species
UCAAAACGACUCUCGGCAACGGAUAUCUAGGCUCUCGCAUCGAUGAAGAACGUAGCGAAAUGCGAUACUUGGUGUGAAUUGCAGAAUCCCGCGAAUCAUCGAGUUUUUGAACGCAAGUUGCGCCCGAAGCCAUUCGGCCGAGGGCACGUCUGCCUGGGUGUCAC